CAGCCACAUCAUAUGGAAACACUGGUUCUUAUAUGAUCACCGAAGUUAAGCAACGUCGAGCCUGGUUAGUACUUAGAUGGUUGAAUGCUUGGGAAUACUAAGUGCUGUAUG